rnacentral:piRNA from 1 species
UNGCCAUGCUUGUUUAGUGUGUACUUGAGGU